GACGAACGCUGGCGGCGUGCCUAAUACAUGCAAGUCGAACGAACAGGCGAGGAGCUUGCUGCUCUGACGUUAGCGGCGGACGGGUGAGACACACGUGGAUAACCUACCUAUAAGACUGAGAUACCUUCGGGAAACCGGAGCUAAUACCGGAUAAUAUAUUUACCCGCAUGGUUCAUUAGUGAAUGACGGUUUUGCGGUCACUUCUCGAUGUAUCCGCGCCUCAUUAGCUAGUUGGUAAGGUAACGGCUUACCAAGGCAGCGAUGCGUGACCGACCGGAGAGGGGGAUCGCCGACACGGGAGCUGAGCCACGGUCCAGAGUCCUACGGGAGGCAGCAGUAGGGAAUCUUCCGCAAUGGGCGAAAGCCUGACGGAGCAGCGGCACGUGAGUGAUGAAGGUCUUCGGAUCGUAAAACUGUGUUAUGAGGGAAAAACAAAUGUGUAAGUAACUAUGCACGUCUUGACGGUACCUAAUCAGAAAGCAACGGCUAACUACGUG
rnacentral:rRNA from 1 species